CCAUUGCGGUGCGUUGCUGGGGAGACCAGCAGGUUUAUUUACUGUGAGGGCUGCGAUAAGGAUGGGAACGGGGCGGUGAACGCGCAGUGUCCAAUGUGCCUGACCCACUUUCUGGCAGCCCGGAGCUGCGGUUGGAUUGCAGCGAGCGGAGGGGAGAGGUGUGGGGAGAUGGCCCCACAAGCGUUGGGGUUUGGGGUUUCCUACGCUGUGAACCUCGUGUUGUUCGGGCUGGGAGGGAGGGAGGAAAUGCAGCUGAGUGGGGACGGCGUUGUUUGGUGUUGGGGGGAAAGGGUGGGUGAUGGGAAAGGAUGUAGGGAUGGGUGCUGCAAGUUGGGUGCUGCAGGAGGAUGGGUGCUGCAGGAGGAUGGGUGAUGCAGAGGGAAGGGUGCUGCAAAUGGGUGAUGCACAGGAAUGGGUGCUACAGGGAGAUGCUGGAGAAGUAUGGGUGCUGUGCAAGGUUGGGUCGUGCAGAUGGGUGAUGCAGAAGGAUGGGUGCUGCAGGACAGGUGAUGCAGGAGGAUGGGUGCUGCACAGGGAUGGGUAUUGCACAGGGAUGGGUAUUGCACAGGGAUGGGUGCUGCACAGGGAUGGCUGCUGCAGGAGGAUGGGGAGCAGCACCAACCAAACCCAGAAGCGAGAUGGGGAACAAAAGCCCUCCCCAUCCCCACACCCUGCAGCCGGGGGGGACAGGAGGAGCGGCAGUCCCCAUCCCGGCGUGUCCCCCCCGGCGCUGGCACAGUGGCCCAGAUCUGCCAUUCCGCAUGGCUUCCCCGGCCUCUCCCAGCACGCAGAGCGCCGCGCUGCUCCUCGCCCCCCGCCCGCUAAUCCGACACGACUCUUCCAUUAGAGCUGAGACGCCGGCAAAGAGCUUUUUGGUGUAGGAAUUAACUCCUUCUCCCACCCCGUCCCCCCUCUCUGCCUGUGCGGGUGCGUCCCCACCCUCCUCCUCUUCCUCCUCUUUCUCCCCCCGGGGCUGUGGGAUGAAGGCGCCGGGGGAUAAUCCUAAGCCCUAACCGAACCCUAAACGUGGGGUGGGAACAUGGGAGACAGCGGUCCCAAAGGAGAGCUCCCGGAGAGCCAAAGCGGCCCCAAAUGGGCAGCAAAGGGGGGAUCGGGGUGGGCGUCCCAUCCGAGGUGCUGAGCGGGGAUCAAUCAGCAGUGGAUGUGCCCACAGUGUCAGCAGUGUCACAGCCUGGAGCUGUCAGCCUCUCAC
ensembl:lncRNA